GCCCCAGAGGAUGAAGGGCACACCCAUCUGACCCCAGGAUUCACUCUGAGCAGAGGCCACACACCACACACCUGUCAGAUGUGGAUACUCCUUUGAAAAACCACAAAUGGGUGAGAGCUGGAGGGUUUCUCCUUCCAUGCUGGUCUGACUCAGCACCCACCAUGGGCUUCUCCAGACCCCAGGUCAAAGAUGCUUUGAACCCAGCCUGUCCUUGCUGGUAGUAGGCAGCGAGUAGGACUUCCAAGGCAGCCAGGACUUCCAAGGGGUGAGCUCCUUGUUGCUGUUUAGUUGCUAAGUCAUCUCCAACUCUUUUGCAACCGCAUGGACUGCAGCCUGCCAGGUUCCUCUGUCCAUGGGAUUUCCUGGGCAAGAAUAUUUGUGGGGACUCAUAACUCAAAUUUUUCCAGUCUUGAAGUUUACCUGUGAACUUGGUACGUCCCCAAGGGUGGAAUGUCCAGGGAAAGGGUGAGCUGAAUAAACGUCAUGCCCUACUCUGGGGAGAGAGGGUGCCUGGGAAAGAGAAGACCUGUGCUUGGAAGGAAGAUCCCAUCCUGUACCCAAGCAAACGGCCAGUGGUUGCAAGGCAGAGCUCAUGGAAAUCAAUCCCUAAUGCCUAUCCACACAAUAAAAAGAGCAAAUUCCCACUGAUCUGCCAUGCUAGGACUGAGAUAAAGCCAGGAAGCAAACCUAAUCUGUCAUUCUUUUAUAAUUAUUCUUAAAGAUUUAUUGGUUUACUUAUUUUGGCUGUGAUGGGUCUUUGUUGCUGUACGGGCUUUCUCUAGCUGUGGUGAGGGGCGGGGGGCUCCUCUUUGCUGCAGUGUGCAGGUUUUCUUGUUGUGGUGGCUUCUCUUGUUGCAGAGUGCAGGCUGUAGGUGUGCAGGCUGUAGGUGUGUAGGCUGUAGGUGCGUAGGCUGUAGGUGCGUAUGCUUUGGUAAUUGUGACACAGGGGCUUAGUUGCUCUGAGGUAUGUGGGAAUCUUCCUGGACUAGGGAUACUUGUGGGGACAAUGUGUCCCCUGCAUUGGCAGGCAGAUUCCUAACCACUGGACCACCAGGGAAGCCCCCAACCUGCCAUUCUUGAUGGGAAAUGAAGCUUAUUGGCUACUUGUUAAAACAAGAAAAUUAUGUGGUCAAUUGUUGCAAUACUUUGAUCUGCAUGUAUUGUUCUUAAUUUUGUUUUAUUUUCAGUAUUUCUUCUUCAAUGCUCUUCCUUUUUUUAUGUACAUCUGAGUUUCUGACCUGUACUAUUUUCCUUCUCUCUAAAGAACAUCUUUUAGCAUUUCUUUCAAGGCAGGUCUAUUGCCAACAAAUUUCCUUAAUUUUUUUGAGAAAGUCUUUCUUUCUCCUUCACUUUUAAAGUGUAACUUCACAGGGUACAGAAUUUUAGGUUGGUGGUUUUUCUCUCAGCACUAAAUAUUUCGCUCUAUUCUCUUUUGUUUGCAUGAGUUCUAAGGAGAAGUCAUGUAAUUCUUGUCUUUGUUCUUCUAUAGGUAUCUUUUGUUUUCUUUUGACUUCUUUCAGAAUUU